CAUUAAUUAACUUAUUUUUUUUGCUGUUCACACUGACUCACACACACACACAGGUCCUGACAACAACACCAUCAUCAUCAUCUCUGGUGUUAUUGUGGUUCUGCUGUUGCUGCUGAUACUCGGAGGAGUCAUGUACUGGAAACACAGAGGACAGAGACGAGGACAGACUGAGACAGGUGAUGGACAAACAGGACAGAGGACACAGCUGAAGGAGCAGAAUGAUUCUGAUGUUCUCUACUCAGCUAUGAAUUCACAAACUAAACGCAAUAAAGCAGAAGAAAAGG